rnacentral:piRNA from 1 species
UAUCAUAAGAGGUCAGGUUGUCCUUUGAAUC